UCUUGCCAGUGGAGAACCAGAAGACUUAUUGAAGGACAAACUCUCAACUUUACAACCUGCCACUUCAGCAGGAAAUUUUUUUCCAGGUUGUGGUUUUACGAAUCUGCAGAAACAAAUGUGACAAGCCCAUGCAGACACUGAAAUCCUGUCCCUGUCAAGGUAUGAAAUACAGGACUGCUCAUGUAUCUACUGCUUGAAAAUCUUGAUGCUUUCGUGCUAGGU